AUUGAACGCUGGCGGCAGGCUUAACACAUGCAAGUCGAGCGAGCGGCGGACGGGUGAGUAAUGUCUGGGAAACUGCCUGGUGGAGGGGGAUAACUACUGGAAACGGUAGCUAAUACCGACUACACUCAGAUGUGCCCAGAUGGGAUUAGCGAGUAGGUGGGGUAAGGGCACACCUAGGCGACGAACCCUAGCUGGUCUGAGAGGAUGACCAGUCACACUGGAACGGAGACACGGGCCAGACUCCUACGGGAGGCAGCAGUGGGGAAUAUUGGACAAUGGGCGCAAGCCUGAUGCAGCCAUGCCGCGUGUGUGAAGAAGGCCUUCGGGUUGUAAAGCACUUUAAGCGAGGAGGCGUUACUCGCAGAAGAAGCACCGGCUAACUCCGUGCCAGCAGCCGCGGUAAUUC
rnacentral:rRNA from 1 species